rnacentral:lncRNA from 1 species
AGACCGGAACCUCCUUUUAUCCGGCUUUGGAAAGAAUCCUUUGCCGAAUUCUGGCUCCUUCUGCGAUGAGCAUUGAUCGCAGAUUUUCUCGAUCCAAUGGCCUAAAUGAGCCAUAUUGCAAAACUUGCGACGAGUCUCCUGGCUCCCCGCAAUCUUGUUCUUCCAAAUCAUUUGUCGUUUCUUCUCGAAAGAUUCUUCGGCAAAAGGAGUUGUUGUUCCUGUCAUGGUAUUAACUAGGAACGUUCCCAGAUCUGAGCUUUAAUAGAACUUGAAUCUGGACUUCAUUUUGUCCAUCUCUGUGAGACAGACCCAUAGACCCCAUGCUCGUCUAGUGGAGAUUUGUUCCUCCG